GGCCUGAUAGCACAACUGGUUAGUGCACCUGCGAGUUAUAGCCAAGCUGGAGAUGUAUAGCAGAUGAUUCCUGUUUGAUCCAGGGUCAGGCCA